GACCUACAUACAACAAUUUUGAAUUUUUUUUUUUGGGUAGGUUAUACAACAAUUUUGAUUUGUCGAAACUCAGUAGACAAAUCCUCACUUCAUCAAUAAUGGAGUCCUCUUCAUCUUCUCUAUCUUCCUCAGCUUCUCUAUUCCCACCAUUCUCUCCCUCCCUUUGGGGCUACAUCAUCUUAUACAUCCUCCGCCCCUUUCUCGCCAUACUCUUUGCCCUCUCUGUAUUACUUUUUGGGUGGUUUUUGGCGUGGAAGCUGGUGCUUGUUCAUGUCCCGUUGGUGCAAGAGAUCUUUGGUUUGCGUAAGAAACCGGUCAAGGCCAAACCCGAGAAUCGCCGGCGACUCACGAAGUUCUACAACAGCAUUGAUGCCCGAAAUUCAGCUUCUUGAUGUGGGCUUCUGGGAUACUCCACUGACUGAUGAUUUUGAGUUCUAUCUCACAGAUUGCAGCAUCCAGGUCAUCAUUUGCAUUGGGUCCACUUGUGCAACUUGUGCAUGAGAAAAAGAAGAGCUUUCUUUGGAAGAGAUUGCUGUAGUUUAUGGCUUAGAAAGUAAAUAAGUUGAUAAAUACUUGUAAAGGAAUAUAUUAAAGUUGGAUAGAAAAUUGUUAGAAAAUUUAGAAGGAAGGCGAUUGAUACUGUACCUUUUGAUAAGAUCUUAGUGCCAGGGGAAGAGCUUUUAUCAAGGUUUCUGGCCAAGGUUGCUGAGUUUCGAUUCUGGUGAGGAAGUUAUCAGGCAAAAGUACUUCUGGGAAGUUUUCUCCAUUGUAUGCUUGAUUCUAUAAGAAAUUUUAGCAGGUCUUCAAUUGAAGGAGCAAUGAAAUUAUGGGAGCUUCUACAGUACAUUUUAGGUUCUUAUGCAAGAUUAUAGCAGUGAAAUGUAUUCAUGAACAGAACUGUUGAUUGUGGACUUCCAUUGUUCCUCUCAUUGAAUUGAUCAUUGACUCCGACAACUAAUGUUAGUUUGAUGAGUGCCAUUAGGAAGGUGAUUUCUUUGUGCUGUAAAAAUUUCAACAGUGGCUUUGGAUCAUCCUUACUUCAGCGUUGUUUUAAUGCAGAUUUAUCCAUAGAACUAUUAUGGUGAUACUCUGUCCGAGUGGUACCCAUGUUAAUUGUAAAAUUGUAGGCCCAAUGCUCAAUGUUGUGUUCCAUUUAAACUCACAUAUUCUUCGAAUUUUUAAUUAGCCCCUUCUGUCCGCAGCUACAAUGUAAUUGCUCAUGUUUCUGCAAUGAAUUUCUUUCUAGUAUUUGGAUUUUA